UACGUAGGGGGCAAGCGUUGUCCGGAUUCAUUGGGCGUAAAGAGCGUGUAAGCGGCCAGGUAGGUCGGUUGUGAAAACUGGAGGCUCAACCUUCAGAGGUCGACCGAAACCAUCUGGCUAGAGUCCGGGAGAGGAGAGUGGAAUUCCUGGUGUAGCGGUGAAAUGCGCAGAUAUCAGGAAGAACACCCGUGGCGAAAGCGGCUCUCUGGAACGGUACUGACGCUGAGACGCGAAAGCGUGGGGAGCGAGCAGG
rnacentral:rRNA from 1 species